GCCAACACCACCAUGCAGGCCCCGUAACCCCGCUCAGGAGAGGGACCUGAAGCAUGAGGUGACUUCUGCCCAGCCUGUGGUGGGGGCACCCAGACACAGGUUCAAGCUGUGUGGGAUCCCUGUGCAGGAUCCAAGCCUCUUUGACCAUCUCCUGGACUUUCAGCCACGAGGAAAGGCCUCCCUGCCUUGGGGUGCAGAGCUGAGAGGUGCCUCACAGCCAGCACCUGAGCUGGGUCCUGCAUGGAGCAUCCUGGCCCCAGGCAUUUUUCCUUUUUGACUUGCUCACGAAUCAAACCCGGUUUGAAUACAGAGCCUCAGGCCAUUUCUGCCUCGAUUCAGAUCUUACAAGCAUAGCUGCAAACCUACCAAGAAGUUUUUCAUGUGUCUGCCUUCUCUGGAUUCAGCGCAGCAAAGGCCACAUCUAGCUGAAAUGAAUACCCAUGUGUGAGAAGCAACGACGGUGUCUUGUUGUGGAAAGCUUGUGCUCACCGAGGCUGGAAAGACCUUCAAAGAAAAGCUCUGGUGAUCCUGGGCAACUGGGAAUUCUCACGUUGAUGAUAGAUCAAACCAAGACUUCCAAUGUAACUGCUGUACAAAUUGUCAGCCUGACCUCUCUCUGCACCUGUCCUGUUUGGAGGACGACAUUUUCAAAAACAGCCCAACAAUUCAUGCCUACAAGAGCCCUUGGAAGCAAUAAUGGAGCAAUAACCACCCACCUGUUUCUGGACUCACAAACCAGUGAAAGAAAGGCUGGUUCAGUAGUUAGAGUUUUGGCACAUGACUUCAGUAAUCUAAGUUCAACUCGCCGUUUCUUGAAUCUCUCUUAGCCCAGCUCUAAAGCAAAGCUGAAAACAUUUCUUCCUCAUGAGACCACUGGGAGGCUUCAAUCGCGGUCUGUAUGUGCUGACAUCAUGGAGUAGAUCUGAUUGAUGGAUGUCUCCUGAUACAUCACAGUUUGUGAAGCAUUUGGAGCUCUUCUGAUGCGUAAAGCCAUAAAAGUGCAAAAUUUUCUCUCUUCUAGAGAACAAAAUGUAUUCACUACUUGUGCUGGCAUAGUCUGGACUAAAAUUAAAUCUAUUGUGUUAAAUGGUACACAGACAAAUGAGUCUUAAGGCUCACAUGGAAACUAAUGCAUGGAGACAGCUUGUUUUGAAAGGACAGGCUACUUAAGUGCUUCAGAUACUACAGAUGGUGAAAUAGAUGUUGAAAAUCCAGUUAGUUUGGGCUUUUGUGUAGAGAGACUUUACAAGUACAGGAAGUUUUCACUCUCAUGGAUAAAGCUCAUAUUUAUUCUUCACUGCAGUGGACAGAUGCACAAGCAGUUAAAAGAGGAGCAACUGGGGCAUAAACUGGGGUUCAAUCCAUCACCGACUUCCUUUGCUGCUGUGGGGAAGUUGCUUAGACACAGUGAGCCUCUGUUUAUCUGUAAACAUGGAAAAAAUAAUCCUUAUUCCACCUCACAGUGGUCCUAGAUCCUAAUGCUCAUUUAUCAGAUUUUUUAAAAAGCCCAUUUAUGUACCAUCCAGCUGUCUGGGACAGCAGAGAGCCUCAUCUGGCUGUAGCCUAAAACAAAGUUCCCUGAUGCUUCAGAGGUGUUAUGGGACCAUUUCAGGGUGUCAAACAUAAAGUCCUGGCCAGAGUCCAAGUUCAGCGUAGUCCCAACCUGUCUCCUGGAAAUUGCUCUUCUCAUGUUCAGUAGGGUAAGCUCUUGUCUGUUUUGCAUUGCUAUUGUGAACCAUUAAAAGAGCUGACAUGCUUCACCCCAGAGGAGCUGCAUGCUAUAAUUGGUAAAUCUUUUUUUAAAGUAAAGCAGCGCGUG
rnacentral:lncRNA from 1 species